CAGUAGCCACGGUAAUACGUAGGGUGCGAGCGUUAAUCGGAAUUACUGGGCGUAAAGCGUGCGCAGGCGGCUUUGCAAGACAGAUGUGAAAUCCCCGGGCUCAACCUGGGAACUGCAUUUGUGACUGCAAGGCUAGAGUGCGGCAGAGGGAGAUGGAAUUCCGCGUGUAGCAGUGAAACGCGUAGAUAUGCGGAGGAACACCGAUGGCGAAGGCAAUCUCCUGGGCCUGCACUGACGCUCAUGCAUGAAAGCGUGGGGAGCAAACAGGAUUAGAUACCCCGGUAGUCCCUGUCUCUUAUAC
rnacentral:rRNA from 1 species